CCCACUUCCAAGCAAGAACCACUUCAGUUCUACAGCAGACAGCCUUGCCAGAGAUAUGACUUCUUGCAUAAUGACAAGUGCUUACCUAUGGAUUCACUUCUCUUCACCGCCAUACCAACUUCCAACUUAGAACCACUUCAGUUGAGAGCAUUUCGAGACAGCCUUGCCAGAGAUGUGACUACUUGCAUAAUGACAAGUGCUUACCUAUGGAUUCACUUCACCUCACCACCACACCCACUUCCAAGCAAGAACCACUUCAGUUCUACAGCAGACAGCCUUGCCAGAGAUAUGACUUCUUGCAUAAUGACAAGUGCUUACCUAUGGAUUCACUUCUCUUCACCGCCAUACCAACUUCCAACUUAGAACCACUUCAGUUGAG